rfam:Brassica napus, WGS project CCCW01000000 data, contig: 17578
GGAAUAUAAGAACCCGUCUCAUAGCUUUUAACUGAAAAAACUAAGAACCGAGCCGGUUCUUAAUUUUUUCAGUUAAAAGUUAUGAGAUGGGUUCUUAUAUUCC